rnacentral:rRNA from 1 species
UACGUAGGGUGCAAGCGUUGUCCGGAAUUAUUGGGCGUAAAGAGCUCGUAGGCGGUCUGUCACGUCGGCUGUGAAAACCCGGAGCUCAACUCCGGGCCUGCAGUCGAUACGGGCAAACUGGAGUGUUGCAGGGGAGACUGGAAUUCCUGGUGUAGCGGUGAAAUGCGCAGAUAUCAGGAGGAACACCGGUGGCGAAGGCGGGUCUCUGGGCCGAUACUGACGCUGAGGAGCGAAAGCGUGGGGAGCGAACAGG